rnacentral:rRNA from 1 species
AUACGGAGGGUGCAAGCGUUGUUCGGAAUUAUUGGGCGUAAAGAGCAUGUAGGCGGUCUGUUAAGUCUGGUGUGAAAGCCCGGGGCUCAACCCCGGAAGUGCAUUGGAUACUGGCAGACUUGAGUAUGGGAGAGGAAAGUGGAAUUCCGAGUGUAGGAGUGAAAUCCGUAGAUAUUCGGAGGAACACCAGUGGCGAAGGCGGCUUUCUGGACCAAUACUGACGCUGAGAUGCGAAAGCGUGGGGAGCGAACAGGAUUAGAUACCCUAGUAGUCC